CCUCCAUUUUCCAACACUCCGCGGCGGCACUGCUAACACAGCUCCGGCAGUAGAGCCACCAGAGCCAGCCCUGUACCUGGAGAGGAAGCCAGGACCGGGGCAGCCAUGGCAGCCAACAUGUACCGGGUUGGAGAUUAUGUUUAUUUUGAGAACUCGUCCAGUAACCCACUGCUGAUCAGGAGGAUAGAGGAGCUGAACAAGACAGCCAAUGGGAAUGUGGAGGCCAAAGUGGUGUGUUUUUACCGACGCAGGGACAUCUCCAGCACACUCAUCGCCCC